ACGCUCGACACCUACGGGAGCAGCAGUGAGGAAUAUUGGUCGAUGGGCGCUAGCCUGAACCAGCCAAGUAGCGUGAAGGAUGAAGGCUCUAUGGGUCGUAAACUUCUUUUAUAUAAGAAUAAAGUGCAGUAUGUAUACUGUUUUGUAUGUAUUAUAUGAAUAAGGAUCGGCUAACUCCGUGCCAGCAGCCACGGUAAUCUGAGCGGGCUGGCAAGGC
rnacentral:rRNA from 1 species